AGUGAACGCUGGCGGUAGGCCUAACACAUGCAAGUCGAACGGAAGCACAGUAAGAGCGUGCUUUUACGGGUGGCGAGUGGCGGAUGGGUGAGAAGUGCAUCGGAAUCUACUUUUACUUGGGUGACAACGGGGGGAAAGUGCUGAUAAUACCGCAUAUGACGUACGGGUGAGAGCAGUAGAUCUUGGCACUUUGGGCGUUACAUUGAGCCGAUGUCGGAUUAGCUAGUUGGGGAGGUAAAGGCCCACCAAGGCGACGAUCCGUAGCGGGCCUGAGAGGAUGAUCGGCCACACUGGAACUGAGACACGGUCCAGACUCCUACGGGAGGCAGCAGUAGGGAAUCUUGGGCAAUGGGCGCAAGCCUGACCGAGCAACACCGCGUGGGUGAUGAAGGCCUUCGGAUUGUAAAGCUCUUUUAUUGGGAAAGAAAAGCAGUGUGUGUAACCCCGCAUGUUCUGACGGUACCCAAAGAGUAAGCCCCGGCUAACUUCGUG
rnacentral:rRNA from 1 species